rnacentral:rRNA from 1 species
GUUUGAUCCUGGCUCAGGACGAACGCUGGCGGCGUGCUUAACACAUGCAAGUCGAACGGUGACGCUGGAGCUUGCUCCAGCUGAUCAGUGGCGAACGGGUGAGUAACACGUGAGCAACCUGCCCUUGACUCUGGGAUAACUCCGGGAAACCGGAGCUAAUACCGGAUACGAACCGCACAGGCAUCUGCGUGGUUGGAAAGAUUUAUCGGUCAAGGAUGGGCUCGCGGCCUAUCAGCUUGUUGGUGGGGUAACGGCCCACCAAGGCGACGACGGGUAGCCGGCCUGAGAGGGCGACCGGCCACACUGGGACUGAGACACGGCCCAGACUCCUACGGGAGGCAGCAGUGGGGAAUAUUGCACAAUGGGCGCAAGCCUGAUGCAGCGACGCCGCGUGAGGGAUGAAGGCCUUCGGGUUGUAAACCUCUUUCAGCAGGGAAGAAGCGAAAGUGACGGUACCUGCAGAAGAAGCACCGGCUAACUACGUGCCAGCAGCCGCGGUAAUACGUAGGGUGCAAGCGUUGUCCGGAAUUAUUGGGCGUAAAGAGCUCGUAGGCGGUCUGUCGCGUCUGCUGUGAAAACCUAGGGCUUAACCCUGGGCCUGCAGUGGGUACGGGCAGACUAGAGUGCGGUAGGGGAGACUGGAAUUCCUGGUGUAGCGGUGAAAUGCGCAGAUAUCAGGAGGAACACCGGUGGCGAAGGCGGGUCUCUGGGCCG